rnacentral:rRNA from 1 species
CAGCACCUCAAGUGGUCAGGAUGAUUAUUGGGCCUAAAGCAUCCGUAGCCGGCGCUGUAAGUUUUCGGUUAAAUCUGUACGCUCGACGUACAGGCUGCCGGGAAUACUGCAGAGCUAGGGAGUGGGAGAGGUAGACGGUACUCGGUAGGAAGGGGUAAAAUCCUUUGAUCUAUUGAUGACCACCUGUGGCGAAGGCGGUCUACCAGAACACGUCCGACGGUGAGGGAUGAAAGCUGGGGGAGCAAACCGGAUUAGAUACCCGAGUAGUCC